UUACAAAGCUAGUUAAAAGAAAAGGAAAGUUUUGAGCGGGGGAAAAUUGAGAUAUCAACAGUAACUUUUAGAAUAGAGCAUGGCUCGAAGAUGGCCACUACCACAGCUAUUGUCUGUAUCGAUCAUCCCAAUAACUGCAAAUUAGCGGCCUCACCAACCAAGCCUUCACUGUUCUUCACCAAUUGUCUUGAAGACCGAGCAGAUGUGUUCCUCCACUGAUAUUCAUCUCCAAUAUUAAUAAAGAAGCUUGGAGCUCACAGAGGCGACAACCCCACUUCCCCUUCACAUCUAUAAAAAAGGAGCUUUCCUCCCAUUCAUAUCCAUCUCUCUCCGAUUUGCGUGUGAGCUGAAAUAGAGGGGCCGAUGAGAGGGGGGAGAUCGUGAGAGAAGGGAGAAAGGUUUAGGGCUUGAAUAUUGAGGUCCUGUUUGGUUGUGUUUUGAGUGGGCUUGUGGUUGUUGUAGCCUAUCGGGGUUUUGGGCAUGCUUUGUGUUUUAUUUUUUGGUGCCUUUUUUACUGCCUUCUUGGUCGUGCAUCUCUAUCUCUCUCUCUCUCUCUCUUUCUCUCUCUCAUUUGAUAUAUGUAGUUUUCUUGGUCAUGGAUCUGUCUGUCUUACUCUCUCUCUCUCCGUCUCUCUCUUGUAUUUGAUAUAUGUGGUUUGCCUGUGGAAAAUAUUAUUUUAUUUUACCAUUUCUGUGUGAAUUGUGGUUGCCUUGAUCAUAUUCUGAGAGUUGUGUUUACAAUUUCUCUGUGACUUGUUGGAGUUAAAUUGAAAGAAUAUUCACUACGCAUACUGCCUUGUAUGUUUGUUUCCAAUUUUAUAGAAUUAGCCUAAUUGCCAGCAUGCUAAAACUUCCAAUUUUAGCUCACUUUCCCUACCUUAAUAUAUAAAGGAAAAAACAUGCUUUCAUGGUAGUAUUCAGCAACCUGUAAAUGCAGUAGGAGUUAGAUUCUCGAUUAUACUACCAACUAAAGAAGACCAUUUCAAUAGAGAUUGGUGAUGGAUCUUUCUUUUUGUUUUUACUGCAGUACUGUCCUCAGCAAAAAAACAAAACCAAAGGAGGCGGAAUUGUGCAGGGUCAAGCCAAUGAACAAGAUUUUAAUCAGCAUCUUCAAGGGAAGAAGCAGUAUUCAAUGACGUCAAUAGAGACUUCAGCCUAAAUAUACCAGCAUUGGCAUAAAGGAGAAGACCACCACUGAAUGGUAAAGAAGAAACCUAACUUUUCUUGUAAAGUAGAGAAGAGAAGGGUAUUGAAUCCUCAUUUCAGGGGGAACAAACGCUCCCUGCGCAGGUAACAAACGCUCCUUGGCGCAGAUUCAUAGCACGCAGCGAGAAAAAGUGCUUUCUAUGCUACCAACAAUGGGCCAAUCUUUAUUAUAGUGGGUCCAGCAAAGAAGAAAACCAAAGGAGUGGAGUUGCGCCCUCUGUCAAACCAGUGAACAAGGUUUUAACCAGAAUCUUGAAGGGAAGGAGCAGAAGUCAAUGACAUCGAUAGAGACGUGAGGCUAAACAUGCCAGCAUUGAUUAAUGGGAAAGAAGAAACCGAACUUUCCAUGAAAAGUAAAGUGAAGGGUAUUGAUUAGUCUUC